UCUACUCUUUUAGAGUUCGAGUUGUAAUUUGUAGAAGAUGCUUCGGCUUACGUAUUGGUCUAAGUUCCUUGGAACAGGACGUCACAGAGGGUGAGAAUCCCGUUUGUGGCCGAUACUUCCGCUAUGUGAAGCUCCUUCGACGAGUCGAGUUGUUUGGGAAUGCAGCUCUAAAUGGGAGGUAAAUUUCUUCUAAAGCUAAAUAUUGGCCAGAGACCGAUAGCGCACAAGUAGAGUGAUCGAAAGAUGAAAAGCACUUUGGAAAGAGAGUUAAAAAGUACGUGAAAUUGUUGAAAGGGAAGCGCUUGCGACCAGACUUGUCUUUAGUUGCUCCGCCGGUCCUUCGACCGGUGUAUUCUUCUAUUGUCAGGCCAGCAUUAGUUUAGGUGGUUGGAUAAAGGCAUUGGGAAUGUGACUCUUCUCGGAGAGUGUUAUAGCCCUUUGUGCAAUACAACCUACCUAGACUGAGGACCGCGCUUCGGCUAGGAUGCUGGCGUAAUGGUCGUAAGCGGCCCGUCUU
rnacentral:rRNA from 1 species